rnacentral:rRNA from 1 species
CCCACUGCUAUCGGGAUGGGACUAAGACAUGCUAGUUGAGCGCCUUCCAGCCAUGUGAGAGGCGCAGCGUACAGCUCAGUAACACGUGGCUAACCUGCCCUUGGGAUGGGAACAACCCCGGGAAACUGGGGCUAAUCCUCGAUAGGUGAAGAACUCUGGAAUGAGUCUUUGCCCAAAAGGUGUCGGAUCAUGCUUUCGGCAUCGCCCAAGGAUGGGGCCGCGACCGAUCAGGUUGUUGGUGAGGUAAUGGCCCACCAAGCCUAUAACCGGUGCGGGCCGUGAGAGCGGGAGCCCGGAGAUGGGCACUGAGACAAGGGCCCAGGUCCUACGGGGCGCAGCAGUCGCGAAAACUUUGCAAUACACGAAAGUGUGACAGGGUCAUCCCGAGUGCCGACCGCUGAGGUUGGCUUUUACCCAGUCUAGAAAGCUGGGGGAAUAAGGAGAGGGCAAGUCUGGUGUCAGCCGCCGCGGUAAUACCAGCUCUCCGAGUGGUGUGGACGUUUAUUGGGCCUAAAGCAUCCGUAGCUGGCUGAACAAGUCCCCUGUUAAACCCACCGAUUUAAUCGUUGGUCUGCGGGGGAUACUGCUCGGCUAGGGGACGAGAGAGGCAGACGGUAUUCCCGGGGUAGGGGUGAAAUCCUAUAAUCCCGAGAAGACCACCAGUGGCGAAGGCUGUCUGCUAGAACGCGCCCGACGGUGAGGGAUGAAAGCUGGGGGAGCGAACCGGAUUAGAUACCCGGGUAGUCCCAGCUGUAAACGAUGCAGACUAGGUGUUUGGACGGCCACGUGCCGUUCUAGUGCCGCAGGGAAGCUGUUAAGUCUGCCGCCUGGGGAGUACGAUCGCAAGAUUGAAACUUAAAGGAAUUGGCGGGGGAGCACCACAAGGGGUGAAGCUUGCGGUUUAAUUGGAUUCAACGCCGG